rnacentral:rRNA from 1 species
UACGGGGGGAGCAAGCGUUGUUCGGAUUUACUGGGCGUAAAGGGCGCGUAGGUGGCGGGGCAAGUCUGGUGUGAAAUCCCGGGGCUCAACCCUGGAACUGCACUGGAUACUGCUUUGCUAGAGUACUGGAGAGGGAACUGGAAUUUACGGUGUAGCAGUGAAAUGCGUAGAUAUCGUAAGGAAGACCAGUGGCGAAGGCGAGUUCCUGGACAGUUACUGACACUGAGGCACGAAGGCCAGGGGAGCAAACGGG